ensembl:lncRNA
UAUAACACAGCACACAAUCCCAACAACACCCAAACAAUGGCUCGAGGUCAAGGAGGGAGCUUAAAGACUAACCACCUCAGGGCGGUGACUCCUGCUUCUGCCUCGUCUGGUGUCAUUGGGUCACAACGUGGGAGGCCAAGCAUUAGGACGCGCGCCAAAAAGCAAUGCUCUGAAGGUGACAAAGCCCACUGUGGACAAAGUGAAAGCAGCUGUGGAAUACUUCCACAGGAGCACAGCAGGUGCUGAAAAACUAGUCUACACAACACCAGAUGAGCUGAGGCCUAAACAAGACUGCACUACAAGGUGUAAUUUAACAUUUUAGAUGUUGAAGCGGUUUCUUGAGUCAAAGGAUGCCAUCAUCUCUACCCUGGCCAUUGUCAAUGCACCUGUUGAUGCUCUGACCUAAGAGAAAUGGGAGGUGGUGGAGGAGGUGUGCAGAGUCCUGGAACCCUUUGAGCAGGUCACUGUGGAGAUCAGUGGAGAGAGCCUCAAAAAUGAUACUCCUGUGUAAGGGUCUGCAGCGAAUCACAGCCAGCCACCAGAGAGAAGCAAAUGUAACCACAGGACAUGUGACAGAGUUGAUGGAUACCCUGUGUUCAUCAAUGGACAGAAAGUUCCACAGAAUGGAAUAUAAUCACGUGCUAUCAGAAACCGCUGCACUUGACCCCAGGUUUAAGAAGUUAGCCUUCAGUGAUACAAGAGCAAUUGAUGAGGCUCUUCAAAAAAUAGCCUCAGCAGCAGGGAGGGACAGCCCCAGCAGUCAGCUGGCUCAGGCACCAGGAAGAAGAGGGAGCAGAAGCACCAGCAGUAGUGCCACAAAUGUCUGCUGUUUGACGAGAGAGCAAC